UCCUGGCCCCCAGCUUUCCGUGUGGUGGGGCUCUCAGUACUGAUCCUGUUAAAUCCACUUCUAUCUUUAGUGAAAACCUACAACGUUAUUGCCACGAGUCAGAGAGAUCGGAAGGUGUUAAAGCUGCCACUGGCAUUCGGCCGUGAUGCCUCACGCAGAGGGGACCAAAAGCGAUCUGCGCGCAAUAUUUAUCACGGAGAAUUUGGUCAAACAGCAGAGGAGGACUUACCGAAAUCCCAGAUCCCUUCUCCCUCUGCUGCCAUCGGUGAAGCUAAAAAAAAACACAAGUUUUCUGAAAGUAGCAAGUUGUGUAGUAUUGCUUAUUAUUCCUGCCCAAAAGGCUCAGUCUUUGGCUCACGGAUGUCAGUGACAAAAUCAUGGCUGCAGGCAGUCUGUAAAGCAAGAAGCGAGAGCCACCGGGGGAAAGAGACAAGGGUCUGGGCAGAAGGGAUGUCCUUUGCCGGGAUCUUAAGGAAAAGCCGCGUUGGGGGGGGGGGGGGGGGGGGGAG